rnacentral:lncRNA from 1 species
CCUCUGAACAGGGCUGAUGCUGGGCAAUCCGAGGAAAGCUUGUUGUUAGCACAUCUACUCUGUUUCCUUAUGGUCUCUGGGUGUAGUCCUCCAACUAGCCAUGGCCUGUCACACCAGGCUCCUCUCCUGCCCCUGUUCCACACUCCAUCUCAGCGGUCCCUCCAGUGGAAGCUCAUGAAGAUAAUUUGUUGGAAUAAGAAGAAGAAAAUAAACAAACAGAUGCUAUCUGCAAGGCCCACAGCACAUCUGCGUGGAUGAAGCAGCAGCACUCAAGUGUCCUGGGAAAGGAGUGAUUUGCAUGUUUGCUAUCUGGUGUGCAGGAGCUCACACAUUCUUUUCAGAUAACACUGCAAUGGCAACGUUCGGAGAUUCAAGUUCUUCAAGUUCACCUUCAGUCCCCGUGCUAGAGAAAUAUUCAUGCUU